rnacentral:rRNA from 1 species
AGAGUUCGAUCAUGGCUCAGGAUGAACGCUGGCGACGUGCUUAACACAUGCAAGUCGAACGGAGUCUGCUUUGUGAAGUUUUCGGACGGAACGGAACAGACUGAGUGGCGGACGGGUGAGUAACGCGUGGGUAACCUGCCUCAUACAGGGGGAUAACAGUUGGAAACGACUGCUAAUACCGCAUAAGCGCACGGAACCGCAUGAUUCUGUGUGAAAAACUCCGGUGGUAUGAGAUGGACCCGCGUCUGAUUAGCUAGUUGGAGGGGUAACGGCCCACCAAGGCGACGAUCAGUAGCCGGCCUGAGAGGGUGACCGGCCACAUUGGGACUGAGACACGGCCCAA